CCUGGCGGCAACAGCGGGAAGCCCAACGCUCCAUCCCAUUCCGAACUGGAAAGCGAAAGUUCCCAGCGGCGAUGAUACUGUGCCUUAAGGUACGGGAAAGUAGUUCACUGCCAGGC
rnacentral:rRNA from 1 species